AUUUAAAUAGCUUAUAAGUAGAGUAUAACUUUGAAGAUGUUAUGGAGAAUAGUAUUCUUUAAAUA
rnacentral:tRNA from 1 species